UAGUCUGCAACCCGACUACAUGAAGCUGGAAUCGCUAGUAAUCGCGGAUCAGAAUGCCGCGGUGAAUACGUUCCCGGGUCUUGUACACACCGCCCGUCACACCAUGGGAGCCGGGAAUGCCCGAAGUCGGUGACCUAACCUUUAAGGGGGGAGCCGCCGAAGGCAGGUCUGGUAACUGGGGUGAAGUCGUAACAAGGUAUC
rnacentral:rRNA from 1 species